rnacentral:rRNA from 1 species
UACAACCUGCCCUUCAGAGGGGGAUAACAACGGGAAACCGUUGCUAAUACCGCGUACGAUUCACAGGCGGCAUCGCUUGUGAAUGAAAGGUGGCCUCUAUGUAUAAGCUAUCGCUGAAGGAGGGGAUUGCGUCUGAUUAGCUAGUUGGAGGGGUAACGGCCCACCAAGGCAAUGAUCAGUAGCCGGUCUGAGAGGAUGAACGGCCACAUUGGGACUGAGACACGGCCCAA